rnacentral:rRNA from 1 species
CCUACGGGAGGCAGCAGUGAGGAAUAUUGGUCAAUGGGCGGAAGCCUGAACCAGCCAAGUCGCGUGAAGGAAGACAGCCCUACGGGUCGUAAACUUCUUUUGUAUGCGAGUAAAAGAGGCCACGCGUGGCCUAUUGCAAGUAACAUACGAAUAAGCAUCGGCUAACUCCGUGCCAGCAGCCGCGGUAAUACGGAGGAUGCGAGCGUUAUCCGGAUUUAUUGGGUUUAAAGGGUGCGUAGGCGGCCCUAUAAGUCAGCGGUGAAAAUUUUCGGCUCAACCGGAAAAGUGCCGUUGAAACUGUAGAGCUAGAGUACACAAGAGGUAUGCGGAAUGCGUGGUGUAGCGGUGAAAUGCAUAGAUAUCACGCAGAACCCCGAUUGCGAAGGCAGCAUACUGGGGUGAAACAGACGCUGAAGCACGAAAG